GCCUCGCUGGUGUAGUAGUAGCACACGUCCUCGAUACGGGCGAGACUCGGGUUCAACUCCCAAUUGAGGUC